AGUGAACGCUGGCGGUAGGCCUAACACAUGCAAGUCGAACGGCAGCACAGUAAGAGCUUGCUCUUACGGGUGGCGAGUGGCGGACGGGUGAGGAAUACAUCGGAAUCUACUUUUUCGUGGGGGAUAACGUAGGGAAACUUACGCUAAUACCGCAUACGACCUACGGGUGAAAGCAGGGGAUCUUCGGACCUUUCGCGAUUGAAUGAGCCGAUGUCGGAUUAGCUAGUUGGCGGGGUAAAGGCCCACCAAGGCGACGAUCCGUAGCUGGUCUGAGAGGAUGAUCAGCCACACUGGAACUGAGACACGGUCCAGACUCCUACGGGAGGCAGCAGUGGGGAAUAUUGGACAAUGGGCGCAAGCCUGAUCCAGCAAUACCGCGUGGGUGAAGAAGGCCUUCGGGUUGUAAAGCCCUUUUGUUGGGAAAGAAAAGCAGCAGGUGAAUACCCCGCUGUUCUGACGGUACCCAAAGAAUAAGCACCGGCUAACUUCGUG
rnacentral:rRNA from 1 species